GAUGAACGCUGGCGGCGUGCUUAACACAUGCAAGUCGAACGGUGAAGGCGGAGCUUGCUCUGCUGGAUCAGUGGCGAACGGGUGAGUAACACGUGAGCAAUCUGCCCCUGACUCUGGGAUAAGCGCUGGAAACGGCGUCUAAUACUGGAUACGAGCUGCGAAGGCAUCUUCAGCAGCUGGAAAGAAUUUCGGUCAGGGAUGAGCUCGCGGCCUAUCAGCUUGUUGGUGAGGUAAUGGCUCACCAAGGCGUCGACGGGUAGCCGGCCUGAGAGGGUGACCGGCCACACUGGGACUGAGACACGGCCCAGACUCCUACGGGAGGCAGCAGUGGGGAAUAUUGCACAAUGGGCGAAAGCCUGAUGCAGCAACGCCGCGUGAGGGACGACGGCCUUCGGGCUGUAAACCUCUUUUAGCAGGGAAGAAGCGAAAGUGACGGUACCUGCAGAAAAAGCGCCGGCUAACUACGU
rnacentral:rRNA from 1 species